rnacentral:rRNA from 1 species
UACGUAGGGUGCGAGCGUUAAUCGGAAUUACUGGGCGUAAAGCGUGCGCAGGCGGUUUUGUAAGUCAGAUGUGAAAUCCCCGGGCUUAACCUGGGAAAUGCGUUUGAAACUACAAGACUAGAGUGUAGCAGAGAGGGGUGGAAUUCCACGUGUAGCGGUGAAAUGCGUAGAGAUGUGGAGGAACACCGAUGGCGAAGGCAGCCCCCUGGGCUAACACUGACGCUGAGGCGCGAAAGCGUGGGGAGCAAACAGG